rnacentral:rRNA from 1 species
CCUACGGGAGGCUGCAGUGGGGGAUAUUGCACAAUGGGGGGAACCCUGAUGCAGCGACGCCGCGUGGGUGAAGGAGUGCUUCGGCAUGUAAAGCCCUAUCGGCAGGGAAGAAGCAAGACGGUACCUGACUAAGAAGCCCCGGCUAACUACGUGCCAGCAGCCGCGGUAAUACGUAGGGGGCGAGCGUUAUCCGGAUUCACUGGGUGUAAAGGGAGCGUAGACGGCCAUGCAAGCCAGGGGUGAAAGCCCGGGGCCCAACCCCGGGACUGCCCUUGGAACUGCAUGGCUGGAGUGCGGGAGGGGCAGGCGGAAUUCCUGGUGUAGCGGUGAAAUGCGUAGAUAUCAGGAGGAACACCGGCGGCGAAGGCGGCCUGCUGGACCGCGACUGACGUUGAGGCUCGAAAGCGUGGGGAGUGAACAGGAUUAGAUACCCGAGUAGUC